CACGUGGGAACAUGCCUUUCAGUACGGAACAACGCCUGGAAACGGGUGCUAAUACCGUAUACGCCCUUAGGGGGAAAGAUUUAUCGCUGAAAGAUUGGCCCGCGCUAGAUUAGCUAGUUGGUAAGGUAACGGCUUACCAAGGCGACGAUCUAUAGCUGGUUUGAGAGGAUGAUCAGCCACACUGGGACUGAGACACGGCCCAGACUCCUACGGGAGGCAGCAGUGGGGAAUAUUGGACAAUGGGGGAAACCCUGAUGCAGCCAUGCCGCGUGUGUGAAGAAGGCCUCGGUUGUAAAGCAC
rnacentral:rRNA from 1 species